rnacentral:lncRNA from 1 species
UGCCUGGCUAAUUUUAAAAUAUUUUUGUAGAGACAGGGUUCUUGCUACCUUGACCAGGUCGGCCUUGAACUCCUGGGAUCAAACAAUCCUCCUGCCUCAGCCUCCCAAAGUGCUGGGAUUCCAUGAGCCACCAUGCCUGGCUCUAAAUGCACAAAUCUUAAGUGUUCAGCAUGAUUGAUUUUUAUGUACAUAUGUGUACAUUUAGUAUAAAUGUGUGUCUGUGUGUGCAUAUACACAUAUACAUACAUAUGGUAACCAUUACCAGAUCAACAUAUUGAAUAUUUCUUACAUUCUAGAAGUACCUCCUCCAGUCAAUAACCCUAAAGGUUAUACUACUCUGCCUCUAUCACCACCGAUUAUUUUGCCUGUUCUUGAACUUCACAUACAUAAAAUCAUAUAUAUAUAUAUUUUUGAGACAUAGUCUCGCUCUGCUGCCCAGACUCGGAUGGUGUGAUCACAGCUCACUGCAGCCUCAACCUCCUGGGAUCAAACAAUCCUCCUGCUUCAGCCUUCUGAGUAGCUAGGACUACAGGUAUGUGCCACCAUGCCCAGCUAAUUUUUAUAUUUUUCUGUAGAAACAGUUUCAUUGUGUUGCCCAGGCUGGUCUCAAACUCCUAGGCUCAGGUGAUCUGGUCACCUCAGCUAACAAAGCGCUGGGAUUACAGGCGUGAGCCACUGCAUCCAGCCAAAUCAUCAAUUUUGUGCACUUCUGCAUAUAUUUUGUUCAACAUUAUGCAUGUGAAAAUCAUCCACGAACUACUGCUACAUGUAUGUUGUUGCAUGCUAUAUGCCUGUAGCAGUUCAUUCAGCAGUUCAGUAAUCUUCAUUACUAUAUAAUAUUUCAUCAUAUGAAUAACUACUACUUAUUUAUCCAUUCUGCUGUUGAUGAGCAUUUGAGUUAUUUCUUGUUUCAAGGUAUUAUGAAUAAAUCUGCUAUGAAUUUUUUUUUUCCAAGACAGUUUCGCUUAUUGCCCAGGCUGGAGUGUAAUGGCACAAUCUCGGUUCACUGCAACCUCUGCCUCCCGGGUUCAAGCGAUUCUCCUGCCUCAGCCUCCUGAGAAGCUGAGAUUACAGAUAGGUGCCACCACACCCAGCUAAUUUUUAGUAGUGAUGGGGUUUCACCAUGUUGGCCAGGCUGGUCUCGAUCUCCUGACCUUGUGAUCCGCCGCUUCAGCCUCCCAAAGUGCUGGGAUUACAGGUGUGAGCCACUGUGCCCUGCCAAAGUGGUACAUAAAAACUUUCACUCCGCCACCAGGAAGACAAUUUGCCCAACCCGUUCAAUACAGUUCCCGCUCAACAAACCCUAAUUUAGCAUCUUCUAUGUGUCAGGCAGUAUGCUGAGCAUUGGGACCUCAAGGAUAAGGAAGAUGCAGUCUCUGCCCUAGAGGAGCUUACAGCAGCAGGAGGUUUCUGUCAUAGGACAGACCCAGGGCUCACCAAGACUCAAGCAGAUGAUGAAGCCUGGGGCUCACUGGCCCAAUCAGCGUAUUCAGACUGGCUGGCUGCUUAUGAGCCUCUUGGGCCAGGGCUGCCUGCUCAGUGGGCAGCUGACUCUAGCUGCUGCAAAAUGCCUUUCACUCAAAGGUGCUAUCUACCAGUGAUUAUAAGGCAUUCCAAUUUUACUUGGAAGGGAGAUGCAGCUACCAGCUGUUUCUUCCCUCUCCCAACCACAAAGUAACACAUUUUUCAUUUGUCUAUCUGUUGUUUCCAGGUUUUUGCUUUUGCCAAUCCCCUCCCUCACAUGCCUUGAAACAAGCACUUUCAAAGACAAAGACAUAAACAACAAAAUGGUGCAGGCUGAGGUGGGUCAUCUUCUCUGCCUGCGUCUCCAACUCUGGAUCCUGCAGUUACUGGACUCAGGCCAUGGCUGACUCCUUCAUCACAGCUAAGAUGCUGCUGGGUUUAAGGCACUGUGACUUUCUGUGCCACUAAGACCGACAAAAAGCUGCCAAGUGAACGAUGACACAAAGAAAGACACAAACUGUGGGACCCAGCCCAACUUCAGAGCUGUUAAAAUGUGAACAAAAAUGCAUCCCGGAAUGGAUGGAAACCGAUCAUUCUAGUUGGUCUGACCUGCUCCAGUGCCUACAGUACGCGUCCUGACAGCGUGGGAGGGGAUAUGAAGGCCCCCCAGUCAAACAGGAGACAGCGUUAGCCUCCAAACUUAACUUUGUUCUCUCUUUCCCUCCUGGGGCCCAAUACCCGCCAGCCAGGACCUGUUUCUCCUCCAUCUCACAUUCUUUCCAGGUUCAGGACUGAAGUCGUCUUGUUCAGCUCCUUGGCUUGGCCAUGCUCACUCUACAAUGCAGCCCAUGGAUGGCGCCGCCUCUGCCCAGCACAUCCCUCUGCCUGGGCUCCUGUCUCCCCGAAUCCUGCAAACCCCAGCCCCAGCCUUUAGCGUUCAGCCGCCCUCCCCGCUUCCCUCAUCCUCCCUUGCGUCCUCGCAGUGAGAUUUCAACAUGUCAUCUCAGUUUUUUUGUUCUUUUACUUUCCUGACUACAAGAAAAAUAAAAUAAUCUGUCUUAAAGUGUAGCAUGAGGCCAAAUAAUUACGGAAUCCCAAGUGCUUUGGGCCCUGAUGUCAAAAGAGCCAAGAUGAAUUCAGAAUAUUACAAUGGUGCUGUUUCUGUGAAUACUGCUUUUUCAAGACGCCUUAUUCCUAACAUCAUGUUUUAUAUCCAUCCUUUUAAACAAAUAUUUAAUAGCCUGGGAAUGCUGGCGAGGGCAGCGGCUCCUGUCAGCAAGGACUGAGCUCACAAUUUGAAAGCUGAAAGGAGAUGCGUUCUACCCACAAAGAAAACGGUCUCCAGCAUCAUAAACUCCACAUCCAUCAAACCGGGCAGGGGCUGGGAAUAGAAAGCCUUUCUGGAAAGAAAACACCAGCUACCCUUUGCACCCUGGGGAACAUUAAAAAUCAAAACAAAACAUACCACAUCAACCAAAACAUAAACCAGUUCUCAAACCAAUCUAAGGUUCCACCCCACCAAGGCCGGCCGCGCAGUGGCCUGUGGAGAGGAGGGCCCGGCUCACGUCGGAACCCGAACUACGCGGGGUCGCAGGAACCUGAAAAGCGCCAGAGUAGCCCGGCGGCCGCACCGGGGCUGACCUGCAGGGCCUGGACCAGCCAGGAGUCCCAGGGAAGUCGAGUGCUCUCUGAGCGCUAACCACGGGCCCCUGCGGUUCCUCGGCCUCAGUUUCCUUACCUGUAAAAUGGAACCGCUGAUCCUGCCUCCUGAGUUGUGGAGCGAGGCCCGCACCUGGAAGCCUUGGCCACAGACGGCGGGAAGGGCAGGGCACCGGGGUGAGGGAGGGUGGCGGGAAUUCGCACGGCCUCAGAGGACGGGGCCAGCUAGCCGGGAAAGGAAGCAGGAGCAGGCUCCCCAGGCGGCGCAGUGGGAGGACCCCAAGAGUUGCGUCCCUAGAUCCAGGGCCGCCAACGUUGCACCUAAAGGUCCAGUUCUGGGGAUUGAGUUCCGACUCCAAGCCAAGCUGCCAGCUCACAGCCGCCGCCGCCGCCGCCGCCAGCUGGGGAACUCGCCGGCCAAGUGCGCACCCUCUUCCUGUUAGCCCUCCACGUGCGCGCCCUCUUCCUGCUCGCCCUCCACGUGCGCGCCCUCUUCCUGCUCGCCCUCCACGUGCGCAUCCACGUGCGCGGUAAUUGGCUGGCGGAAGCUCCUGCCCCCAGGCAGCCCUGGGUCACGCGCACUUGUAGCUUGCAUUUACCAAGACAGUGAGACAGUGGCCUGGCGCGGUGCCUCAUGCCUAUAAUCCCAGCACUUUGGGAGGCUGAGACGGGACGAUUGCUUGAGCCCAGGAGUGAGAGACCUGCCUGGGCGACAUGGCGAAACCCCGUCUCUACUAAAAAUACAAAAAUUAGCCUGGCGUGGGCAAGGCGCGGUGGCUCAUGCCUGUAAUCCCAGCACUUUGGGAGGCCGAGGCGGGCGAAUUGCCUGAGGUCAGGAGUUCCAGACCAGUCUGGCCAACAUGGUGAAGCCCUGUCUCUACUAAAAAUUAAAAAAAAGUUAACCGGGCUUGGUGGCUGGCGUGCGCCUGUAAUCCCAGUUGAGCGGGAGGCUGAGGCAGGGGAAUUGCUUGAACCAGGGAGGUGNNNNNNNNNNAAAAAAGUUAACCGGGCUGGGUGGCUGGCGUGCCCCUGUAAUCCCAGUUGAGCGGGAGGCUGAGGCAGGGGAAUUGCUUGAACCAGGGAGGUGGAGGUUGCAAUGAGCUGAGAUCGCGCCACUGCACUCCAGCCUGGGCGGCAGAGCAAGACCCCUUUUCAAAAAAAAAAAAAAAAAAAAAAAAAAAAAAAAAAAAGCCGGGCAUAGUGGUGCAGUGCCUGUAGCCCCAACUACUUCAGAGGCUGAGGUGAGAGGAUCACUUGAGCCUGGGAGGCGUAGGCAGAGGUUGCAGUGAGCCGAGAUCGUGGCACUGUACUCCAGCCUGGCGAAAGAGCAAGCCCCCAUCUCUAACACACACACACACACACGUGUGAGAUAGCUGUGUCUGUUUGGCAGUGAUGAGCUUCCCUUUAUGGGAGAUUUACAUAAUUAUUCAUAAAGGAGCGGGAAUGGGCAUUACCGUUAAGCAUGUUACGGGGUCUCCCAGAUGUGCAUGUGCGUGCUAGUACACCACAUCACAUGUCUCAUUAGCAUUUUAAUUCCUCACCCAGGGGUGUGUUUUUUAGCAUUAAAAUGAGCAUAGGUCAUUCCAAGAACACUCUAAUCAUGGGUUUCUGCACUUGUGUGAAUUUGGGGAUUUUCCCUUCUGCUGUUCAUCCUCUUUGCUGCAGGAUGUUCUAACUAGGAGCCUGAUGCAGUUUAUGCACCAGUGGGCGGUUUGUUCUCUCCAUCAAUCUGGCACAUUCAUUCCCCUUUAAAGGAGGCUAUGACCACUGUAUCUAACCGACCUCAUUUUCCCCCUCAGAGACUUUGGGUCCAUGUUCUUAUGAAAUGUGGAGGGCUGGGUCAUUUUUUCUGGAGCUGCUUCGUGCUGAGACAGGACCAGGGCCCGAAAGUCUCUUCUUGCCUGAUUUAAAGUGAUAGGGGUCAUAUCCUCCACUGGGAUAAGUUGAAAUCCUUGCAUAACUAUCAAUCUAGGAAUUGUUGUAACCUAGAAGACACAGACUUUAAAGGAGCUUAAACAAGCAAGGACCAAAGGUCAGUAGUAAUAAGAUGGCUAUUGUAGGUCCCAUGAAAGGUAGCAGAAUGAAGCAUCACAUCAUUAUUCAGCAAGCAGAAGAACAAAAAGAGCUCCUACAAAUAGGAGACCUGAGAUGGGACUACCUUAUGUUGAAGUAAUAUUAAUCUCUUUAUUUGGGGUGUUGGCAUCUUUUCUUGAAAAUGAAUGUUAGGUCUUCUAUAGGCUUACAAAAAGAUUUUUAAUCUUUAGUUGUUGAUGUAGAGUCCUGUGGAAAUGUAAGGGAAACAGUUUUUAUCCGAGAGAGAUGCACCCAGCUGGCAAUGUCCUGGAUUCUCUGGACUAUGCUGUGUUAUGGUGGUCAGCUGGGCUUUUGAGAGUGCUCCUAUGAGAAGGGGUUCAGUUGGUUUCAUUGGUUUUAAAGAAGCCCCCAACGAGGGUAGCAACAAGGGAGUUAGGCAUUCACGUCCUUGAGUCUGCAAAUUAAAGGUUGGGUGGCUGGGCACGGUGGCUCACGCCUGUAAUCCCAGCACUUUGGGAGGCCGAGGCAGGCGGAUCACGAGGUCAGGAGAUCAAGACCAUCCUGGCCAACAUGAUGAAACCCCGUCUCUACUAAAAAUACAAAAAAUUAGCCGNNNNNNNNNNGGAAACAGUUUUUAUCCGAGAGAGAUGCACCCAGCUGGCAAUGUCCUGGAUUCUCUGGACUAUGCUGUGUUAUGGUGGUCAGCUGGGCUUUUGAGAGUGCUCCUAUGAGAAGGGGUUCAGUUGGUUUCAUUGGUUUUAAAGAAGCCCCCAACGAGGGUAGCAACAAGGGAGUUAGGCAUUCACGUCCUUGAGUCUGCAAAUUAAAGGUUGGGUGGCUGGGCACGGUGGCUCACGCCUGUAAUCCCAGCACUUUGGGAGGCCGAGGCAGGCGGAUCACGAGGUCAGGAGAUCAAGACCAUCCUGGCCAACAUGAUGAAACCCCGUCUCUACUAAAAAUACAAAAAAUUAGCCGGGCGUGGUGGUGGGCGCCUGUGGUACCUCAAGAGACAUCUUGGAAAUUCUUAUUCCAAGAAGGCAGCAAGUUAGUGAGAAGGAUGCUGUCUGAAAUCACAUUUAUCUGUGUGCCAAACCUCAUGUCUGAUUCAUAAAUCGUUAGACAUCUGUAGUCUUAAAAGUCAUUCUAGAAGUGAACCCAGUGAAAUGAAAAAUAAAGGAUAAGAGAUAGAAGAAAGAGAGGCAGGUAAGUUUCNNNNNNNNNNNNNNNNNNNNNNNNNNNNNNNNNNNNNNNNNNNNNNNNNNNNNNNNNNNNNNNNNAAAAAAAAAAAAAAAAAAAGGUAAAAAGGUUGGGUAAAGUAUCUGGUCCGGGUUUUUCAUCAAUUCCCGUGGCAGUGCAGUGUUUGGCCUAUUUGGCCUACUAGGGUCGACGGCAGAAUGAAAGGACUGACAGGCUGGUCCCUGUAUGUAAUAGAAAAUUAGCUACACCUGCCACGUGCAGGGUCACUGGAUUCCUCUGUGGUAAUGGGGACUGAAUGACAGCCAGUGUUAGCCUUGGGUCUCCUCAGUCUUCAGUCAGGGCCAUCAAGGAAUUGGAAGCCCUGUCUCCCUCCGGAGUUGGGGGCAGUCCUGCUUCCAGUGACUGACAUCUCUGCAUUGUGGAUAUGGUCUAGAUGGAAUGGACUUUUGGGCAUUUUGUCCCUUGGUCUGGCAGUUUUGGGGCCAGUGUCCUGGUUUUAAGUGUAGCAGGUGUCCCCAGAUUGGGGCUUGGUCUGGACUGGCUUGUUCUCUCUGAUAGCAAGGGCCAAUCAUUGGAGGCCUGGUUUACGUCUCUUGCCUCUUCCCUCUUUCACUUUUUAGCCUCUUCUACUCUGUCUCGUUACAGAAGACUUCAAAGGCUACAUUAAGUAGCUCAUUCAUUGGUGCCUGGGGACUUACAGCCAGUUUUUGUAACUUUCUCUUAAUAUCUGGAGCAGAUUGACUAAUAAAAUGAGUCCCCAGAAGAAUUUGACCUGCCUCAGAGACAGCAUCUACAUUGGUAUAUUUUCCUAAUGCCUUUACAAGGCACCCCUGUGAAGACUCAAAAGGACCAUAUAAUAUUUCAAAGGUGCUGGGUUGCAGAUUGGUCUUGGGAGCCGCUCUUACUUGGAGGAAUGCUAGAGGCAAUCACUUUAAUAAGGACUCAGAAGUCUCUUGCCAGAGCUUCGCCAGAGUUUUCUUUACGAUUAGCUUUUUCUAGCUUUCCUGAGGAUGGAGGUCUCCAGGAAGCAUGUAAAUGAUCACUUACUCCUAGAGUGGUAGCACUUGCUGGGUUAUUUUGGAAACAAAGGAGGGGCCAUUGUCGCUUUGGAGUGACAUAGGUAGCCCAAAUCGGCGAAUGAUUUCUUUUAAGAGGCACUUGUGCCUUUUCUGUUUUGGUGGAGUAGGCUUCAAUCUAUCCCAUGAAAGUAUCUGUAGAGAUCAGUAAGUGCUUAAAUCUUUACACUGGUGGAACUUAGGGAAAGUCUAACUGUCUGUCUUCCCCUGGGUACCUUCCUCUCCUCUGUACUGGCAUCAGUAAUGGAAGUGGCCUUAUUUUCCUUUCUGGGUUAUUGAUAGAGUAAAGUGGUCUCGCUGUAGUGUCUGCUUUUGCAGUAGUAGCUAAGCCUGUUCCCUUAAGGGUUCAUGUGACCAAAGCGUUAGAGAGCCCCUUCCUAGGUGUCUGUAACCCCCUUUGAUUAAUUUGCAUUGAUGACCUUGAGGUAUUAAAAAUUUUGAAUUUUGGGGCCGGGCACGGUGGCUCACGCCUGUAAUCCAAUUGCAAUUCAACAUGAGAUUUGGGUGGGGACACAGACCCAAACCAUAUCAGUUACCCAUCUUGAUUAGUAGCCUAAUGUCAAAAAAAAAAAAAAAAAAAUGAAGAAGGCUCUAAGCCUGAAGAGACAAAAUUUAGCUUGGGCGUCCCCUUACUUUCGCUUGGGCUUCCCAGGCCCCGCUGUCCUUGGUGUCAAGCGUACCUUGAUGGCCAGCUGACAGUCUUCCCGAAAGUGGUUUUACCAGUUUUCCCACAAGGAGAGGUACCACUUCUAGUCCCUGUCUUUACAGUUAUUGGUGAGUGACCAAUGUGGAAUGAGGCAGAUAAACUUAUUUUCCUCAUUUAGCUGAGGGAGUCUUUUCCUGGGCUUAGACUCUUCUGGCCUUUUCUGUACAUCUGAUAUUCUCUUAUUAAAGGCCCAGGACUUGGGUGGGCAGCCCUAGAGCUGACAUUUCUAUGGUACCAUGAUCUCUCUACGUCCCAUUUUCCUCUCUUAAAGAGCAACUGUAUGAAGGGAAAAUGAAGCAGGGGAAAAAAGAGCAACUUAAGGAUCUGGAAAACAGCCAAGCCUACUAGGGUUGGGGGAGCAUCAAUUGAUUGAAAGGCCCGUUUUCGGCGAGGUGCGUGGCUCAUCCCUGUAAUCCCAACACUUUGGGAGGCCGAGGCAGGCUGAUCACGAGGUCAGGAAUUUGAGACCAGCCUGGCCAACAUGGCAAAACCGCAUCACUACUAAAAUCACAGCAGUGAGCUGAUAUCACCCCAUUGCACUCCAGCCUGGGCAAUAAGAGUGAAAUUCUGUCUCAAAAAAAAAAAAAAAAAGAAAAAAAGAAAGAAAGAAAAGAAAGGCUCAUUUUCUAUUUGCCUGAUCUUNNNNNNNNNNNNNNNNNNNNNNNNNNNNNNNNNNNNNNNNNNNNNNNNNNNNNNNNNNNNNNNNNNNUUUUUGAGACAGAGUCUUGCUCUGACGCCCAGGCUGGAGUGCAGUCGUGCAGUCUCGGCUCACUGCAAGCUCUGCCUCCCGGGUUCAUGCCAUUCUCCUGCUUCAGGCUCCCGAGUAGCUGGGACUACAGGUGGCCGCCACCAUGCCCAGCUCAUUUUUAGUAUUUUUAGUAGAGAUGGGGUUUCACCGUGUUAGUCAGGAUUGUCUCGAUCUCCUGACCUCGUGAUCCGCCCGCCUUGGCCUCCCAAAGUGCUGGGAUUACAGGCGUGAGCCACCGCACCCGGCCCCCUUUUUUUGCUUUUAAACCAUGUAGGGAGAUGAUUUGAGCUCAUGCUCUC